AGGCGGUGGAUGCUGGGGAGAUCCAGCGACGCCCCGGGUACGACAGGUUGCUCCUUGUGUAUAAAAGAACCUUUACGUGGGACGGGGGCCCCCCAACCGGUGAAAAGAAGUCGAUCUGGACGGGGGUCAGGGACGCAUUCGCGAGUUUUAGCCUUGCCAGGUGGCUACGGGGGAUUCUUCGCGAGUCGAGGAAGAGGGGAAGGGAUCUUGAGCGCCAUUGAACGAGGGGAUGAAUCUGAAUCGAGUUUGGUGCGGUUUGCUUAGGUGGACACUAGUUUGCGACGGUUACACUGUGAAUGUUUGUGCAAAUUCAUAUUUUUACAGAUCUGGAUUUAUUUUGAGGGGGAUACGAAGGAUUUUAACUAACUAUUUAACCCGUUGCGCUCGAGUGGCGCCCCUAGGGCGACAUGUGUAAUCUAAAAAUUUUUGUGACUGAAAUACUGCUGUAACGAGUGAAGUCGAUUUACUAAAUUAAUUAGAAAAUUUGAACGAAAACGAAUUGCAUGGUUUCUGGAAAGCCUUGCCAGACUUGUUUUUUGAACAAUGUAACAUGUGGUACAUGCGUGUUCAGGAAGAAACGUCCGAGUGGAAUGGUAAUGGUGGUACGAAGACCCUGGGAAUUUUUCGAAGCAGCCCCACCCCCGACAAUUUAAUUAAACUUCUCAAUUCGAUACUCGUUGGUAUCUUAAUCAAUAAAUAUUGACGACUAUACGAAUUUAUUUUCUUUGUGUGAAACGAAUUAGAAUUGUUAUUGCUCGUAUGUUCCUUUUAGUUUGACAAAAAUGAUCCCAUUUUUGGUUUUCACUGUCUGUGAUAAUGACUAUUACAAGUUUUAUUUGCACGAAAGAAAACAUAACGUACUGCAAAGAUACAACUGAGAUUGGAUGCUUCUAUAUACUCGAUAAAUUAAAUUUUUCAAAGUGAUUCCCAUGAUCAUCACUGUGCACACAGAUUAUUAAAACUUCUAUUUACCCAUUUAGAUCGCAAAAAUUCCCCAAGAAGUGUUU